rnacentral:rRNA from 1 species
CAGCACCUCAAGUGGUCAGGAUGAUUAUUGGGCCUAAAGCAUCCGUAGCCGGCGCUGUAAGUUUUCGGUUAAAUCUGUACGCUCAACGUACAGGCUGCCGGGAAUACUGCAGCGCUAGGGAGUGGGAGAGGUAGACGGUACUCGGUAGGAAGGGGUAAAAUCCUUUGAUCUAUUGAUGACCACCUGUGGCGAAGGCGGUCUACCAGAACACGUCCGACGGUGAGGGAUGAAAGCUGGAGGAGCAAACCGGAUUAGAGACCCGAGUAGUCC